CAUUGUUUUGUUUACGUAUUAUGUUUUUUAUUUUUUUUUUAUUUUGAUUUACUUGAAAAAAAUGCAUGACAUUUUAUCAGACAUAUACUACUUAGAAAAUAAUUUAAAUAUUGGUAAUAUAAAUCUAGAUAAAAGCAUAAGUAGAAAAGCAGAUGAAUUUUUUCACAGUGCAAUAAAUUAUAUUGAAAACAAACAAUUAACAAAAUGUGAAGAGUAUAUUAAAAAUAUAUUAAUCGAUUUCAAAAAUGAACCAUUUGAAUAUGUAAUAUUUAUGACUAUAAAAAUUUAUUGUAAUUUAAGGCUACGUAGUUAUCGAUUUGUUUCAAUCGAUUUAAGUUCAUUGGGAAAUUUAGAUGGAACAAAUUAUAAAUUCGAAACAUUUUCAUCAAAAUAUAAAAAAAAAAAAGGAACUAUGAUACCUUUUUUACUCAGAAUAAUAAACUGUUAUUAUCCCUAUACUUUAAAUUUAUAUUUUACUUCUUUUGAUAGACUAUACUUGUUGAUAUUGUAUUACGAAAAUAUGUUAAAUGUGUGUAUACGGGAGUUGGGAACUGGUGGCGAACAAAGUAACGGCGAACAGAGUAAGGGCGAACAGAGUACGGGCGAACAAAGUAACGGCGAACAGAGUAAAGACAUAGGAAUUAGUAACGUAGAAACUGACAAAGCCACACAUAGUGAUAAAAAUGGAAGUAAAAUUCUUAAAAAUGAAUCAACCAUUAUAUCUACAAACAAACUAGCAAUCGUAUCUGAUUUACUAAAAAAAAAAAAAAAAGUUAUCCUUCAUUAUAUUAUUAUAACUUGUUAUGUGUUAUGUGAUUUAUUAUUAAAAAAAAAUUAUAUAGAACAAGCUAUACAACUAUUAAAAGAAAAAAUAUUAAAAUAUAAUUCAAAUCACAUAAAUACAAUAUCAUUAGUAGGUAAAUUAUGUUUACUUAUAGGCAGUUUUGAUGAUGCUGAAUUUUUAUUUAAACGGGUGGAUAGAUUGAUAGUUUUAAAUGCUGCUACUACUGAUGCUGCUACCACUAUAAAUUAUAAUAAAGCUAUUAAUCAUGCACAUAUGAAUUUCAGUUUCAUGCAUUUAUAUCUUGAUGAGUACGAAGCUGCACUAAAUGAGCUUUUGUUAAUGCAAUCAAACAUUGUAAAUGAACAUAACAAUAAUAUAGUUAACGAUUAUUCUAUUUAUCAAAACAAUUUGGCAAUCACAUAUUUUUUUAAUGAUAAUUUAAAAAAGGCUAUGCACAUUAUGGAAAAUACUGUAACUGCUAAUUAUGUAAAUGCAUUUCCAUCACUCAUAAGAAACUUAAAUUAUUUUUAUGAAACAUCCAAAACAAAAAAUGAAAUAGUAAACAAAUUUAAUGAUAUAAUAAAAUAUAAUUUAAGCGAAGAUCAAGAAAUUAUGUCUGUAGUAAAAAAAAGGAGUUGAAAUAGGAUAUG
rnacentral:lncRNA from 1 species